GACGAACGCUGGCGGCGUGCUUAACACAUGCAAGUCGAACGGAAAGGCCCUGCUUUUGUGGGGUGCUCGAGUGGCGAACGGGUGAGUAACACGUGAGUAACCUGCCCUUGACUUUGGGAUAACUUCAGGAAACUGGGGCUAAUACCGGAUAGGAGCUCCUGCUGCAUGGUGGGGGUUGGAAAGUUUCGGCGGUUGGGGAUGGACUCGCGGCUUAUCAGCUUGUUGGUGGGGUAGUGGCUUAACAAGGCUUUGACGGGUAGCCGGCCUGAGAGGGUGACCGGACACAAUGGGAAUGAGAGACGGCCCAGACUCCUAAGGGAGGCAGCAGUGGGGAAUAUUGCACAAUGGGCGGAAGCCUGAUGGAGCAACGCCGGGUGCGGGAUUAAGGGCUUAGGGUUUUAAACCGCUUUCGCCUGGGAAGAAGCGUGAGUGAAGGUAAUGGGUAAAGAAGCACCGGCUAACUACGUG
rnacentral:rRNA from 1 species